UGUAACCCUUGAAAGGGGAAGCCGCUGAGGCUUGGAGCAGCUCAGUUCAAGCCUGGUCUCUGCCUUCCAGAAGCGGCCGUGGUCAUAUAUGCUCCAGCUCCCUCACAGGGCGCCGAUUAAUCACCUACCCAACAACCUCAUUUAACAGAUGAGAGAACAGACCUACAGAGGUAAACAGCCUUGCCCAAGCCCCAGAUAGCCUAGUGAGUCAAUGGCAGGAUUGAAACCAGAAUCCAGGGUGACUCAGGGCGGUGGAAACUAUAAAAUACUCGGAAAAUAGAGUCCUGUAAAUCCAAAAUAUCCCCACACACUUUUCACCUUUAUGAGGUGUUGUCUUUAAGGCCCGGUCAGAAUGACUUGAGUUAUAAGAUUAAGCAAACAUUUGGAGGAACCCCAGGCCCUUGGAAACAGCAGCCCUUGUGUUGGCCUCACCUCUCUUCCCUGGGAGGAGAGAGCAUGCAGGGCAGUGGGAAGCGCAUGGACUGGGGCUUCUGGCAAGUCAGGGUUUGAAUCUCAGCUUCACAAACAGUGGGAGUUACCCUCUCGGAGCCUCAGUUUGCUCACCUCUAGGAUGGGAUGAUGACACCUCCCUCACCAAGCUCCUGCGUGGAAUAGUCCCUCGGAGUCCCUGAAAAUUUGAGCAACAUAAAGUGGCGUGACAGGUGAAUUUGUACACAGUUGGGAGGGGAGGAAUGUCUGCUGGAUUCUCAGAAGACCAGAUGGUGUUCGCACUUUGGAUAUAAUUCAGCUAUUUCCCCAAAGGACAGAUCAAGGACAAAGGAGCUGUGUCCCUAGUAAGAUAGCAUUCUUUCAAUACGAAGAUGUAUUUUUGGCCACAAGGGGCCUUUUGAAAACUACCUCUUGGGCAGUUACAGACUCUGUGGCCCUUGAGAGCCACAGGUCAAAGGUCAAGGCCCAUAGAAAUGGCUGUAUCCCAGGACUCGGGGCAGUGGGACUGCUUAUCCUCCUGAGGCCCCUGUGGUGUGGUCAUGGGUACUGCCAAUGUCUGCGCCGCUCUGGGCACUGUCUCAAGCAAAGUUUCCCUGUGACUGGAACACCCGCAGCCCUACUCAGCACGCAGGCAGCGACACAGCAGCAAACAACUUGCGUCUGUUUCCUGGUGGCUUGUUCUCUGGGACGCAGAAAAGAACAUGGCGACCGCCAACAUUCAGGCCUAUCUGAUUCAUCUGUGACCAAAAGUAGAAAAUAAUGAAGCAAAAAAGAGGUAAAGGGCAAGUCACUGUGGGCAGUCGCAGGCCUUCAGGGUCUCUUAAAACCAGCAGUGUUGGAUGUUGCAGGAGUGAUGGUGGUGAACCAAGAACCGGGGUGAGCGGCCCCCCUGGGCACAGGCAACAACGUUGUGGAUAAUCCCUAGGGAACUGAAAAACAAAAAUAAAACCUUAUAAGAAUCCCUUUGCUUGUUUUUAUCACAAUGUGCUGGCAGUUUUAAACAAUGUCAGUAACAAAAUAAAACUCUCUGAAGGUUUUCUCAAUUUCUUUCCUCUAGUCCAGCUAUUAUGAAGGGUUUGUG
ensembl:lncRNA